rnacentral:rRNA from 1 species
CUACGGGUUGCUCCAGUGAGGAAUAUUGCACAAUGGGGGGAACCCUGAUGCAGCAACGCCGCGUGGAGGAUGACGCAUUUCGGUGUGUAAACUCCUUUUAUAUGUCAAGAAAAUGACGGUAGCAUAUGAAUAAGCACCGGCUAACUCCGUGCCAGCAGCCGCGGUAAUACGGAGGCUGCAAGCGUUACUCGGAAUCACUGGGCGUAAAGGACGCGUAGGCGGGUUGGAAAGUCAGGUGUGAAAUCCUACAGCUUAACUGUAGAACUGCACUUGAAACUUCUAAUCUAGAGUAUGGGAGGGGGAGAUUGAAUUAGUGGUGUAGGGGUAAAAUCCGUAGAUAUCACUAGGAAUACCUAAAGCGAAGGCGAUCUCCUGGAACAUUACUGACGCUAAGGCGUGAAAGCGUGGGGAGCAAACAGGAUUAGAUACCCCCGUAGUC